AACGAACGCUGGCGGCAUGCCUAACACAUGCAAGUCGAACGAUCCCUUCGGGGAUAGUGGCGCACGGGUGCGUCACGCGUCGGAACCUGCCCUUAGGUUCGGGAUAACUCAGAGUAAUUUGAGCUAAUACCGGAUAAUGUCUUCGGACCAAAGAUUUAUCGUCUUUGGAUGGGCCCGCGUUGGUUUAGCUUGUUGGUGGGGUAAAGGCCUACCAAGGCGACGCUCCAUAGCUGGUCUGAGAGGAUGAUCAGCCACACUGGGACUGAGACACGGCCCAGACUCCUACGGGAGGCAGCAGAGGGGAAUAUUGGACAAUGGGCGAAAGCAUGAACCAGCAAUGCCGCGUGAGUGAUGAAGGCCGUAGGGUAGUAAAGCUCUUUUACCCGGGGUGAUAAUGACAGUACCGGAAGAAUAAGCCCCGGCUAACUCCGUG
rnacentral:rRNA from 1 species